GUUUGAAUGGUUUAAAACUAGUCUUCUUUGGGGCCCUUUAGAGCUAGCAAUUUGAUGUGAGCCAAGGCUCUGUGUUGAAGACCGUAAUUUGACCUAUAAUGGUUUACUUUUAUAUAUUGUGACUUGGAUGGAGAGUUGUCUCAUUGGCACUCAUACCACAUCUUCUUAUGAAGAAAAAAGCUAUUCUUUUGAGGUCCUUAGGUUUCAUAGCUGCUCACGUUUCUACAUAUGUAUAAAUUCUUGACUUUGAAAUGUUUAGUUGUUAGCUAAUGUUCCUGUUGAAGGUAAAUCAAGAAAAGUGAAUCAGACAAACAUA
rnacentral:lncRNA from 1 species